rnacentral:rRNA from 1 species
AGAGCGAACGCUGGCGGCAGGCCUAACACAUGCAAGUCGAGCGCGUGUAGCAAUACACGAGCGGCAGACGGGAGAGUAACACGUGGGAACGCGCCCUUCGGUUCGGAAUAACUCAGGGAAACUUGAGCUAAUACCGGAUACGCCCUUACGGGGAAAGAUUUAUUGCCGAAGGAACGGCCCGCGUCCGAUUAGCUAGUUGGUGAGGUAACGGCUCACCAAGGCGACGAUCGGUAGCUGGUCUGAGAGGAUGACCAGCCUCACUGGGACUGAGACACGGCCCAGACUCCUACGGGAGGCAGCAGUGGGGAAUAUGGACAAUGGGCGCAAGCCUGAUCCAGCCACGCCGCGUGGAUGAUGAAGGCCUUAGGGUUGUAAAGUCCUUUUAACGGGAAGAUAAUGACGGUACCGUAGAAUAAGCCCGGCUAACUUCGCGCCAGCAGCCGC